CUGGAGGGGCUGGCAGGACCGGUUGUGUGUGUAUUUUUUGACCCAGGCGUGUAGAGAGUGGUCCAGAGGGUGGGUGUGCAUCGGCAGUGUCCCCGGAUCCCUCUGUCAUUCAUCCUUUAUAAACCUGUAAAGAUAAGGGGGAACUCCCGGAGGUACGCGGUAGAAAGGAAAGUAGGAUGUUCCUGCCCUACUGUGUGUCUUAAUAUUUAACUUAUUAUGAGCUACCGUCCCAGUGGUUGUACACCUUUGCUGUUGCACACAGGAAGCCCGAUCAGUCCCAUCUCAUGAAAUUCGGCAUUUACAGUUCUCUGAGGUAGGG